CCGGUACCGGGGCCACGUCUGC
rnacentral:miRNA from 1 species